CCUACGGGAGGCAGCAGUGGGGAAUAUUGGGCAAUGGGCGCAAGCCUGACCCAGCAACGCCGCGUGAAGGAAGAAGGCCCUCGGGUUGUAAACUUCUUUUGUCAGGGACGAAGCAAGUGUCGGUACCUGACGAAUCAGCCACGGCUAACUACGUGCCAGCAGCCGCGGGAAUACGUGGGUGGAAAGCGUUAACCGGAUUUAGUGGGUGUAAAGGGCGUGUAGGCGGGGAAGCAAGUCAGAGGUGAAAUUCCAGGGCUCAACAUGGGAACUGCAUUUGAAACUGUUUUGCUUGAGUGAUGGAGAGGCAGGCGGAAUUCCGUGUGUAGCGGUGAAAUGCGUAGAUAUACGGAGGAACACCAGUGGCGAAGGCGGCCUGCUGGACAUUAACUGACGCUGAGGCGCGAAAGCGUGGGUAGCAAACAGGAUUAGAUACCCUAGUAGUC
rnacentral:rRNA from 1 species